rnacentral:rRNA from 1 species
UUCGCAAUGCCCGAAAGGGUGACGAAGCGACGCCGCGUGUGGGAUGAAGGCCCUCGGGUUGUAAACCACUGUCGGGAGUUAAGAAUUGUAGGAAUGCUAAUAGUAUUUCUACUUGACUAAGGCUCCGGAGGAAGCCACGGCUAACUCUGUGCCAGCAGCCGCGGUAAUACAGAGGCGGCAAGCGUUGUUCGGAAUUAUUGGGCGUAAAGAGCAUGUAGGCGGCUAUGUAAGUCGGUUGUGAAAGCCUUCCGCUUAACGGAAGAAUGGCGGUCGAAACUGCAUAGCUUGAGUGCGGGAGGGGAGAGUGGAACUUCUGGUGGAGCGGUGAAAUGCGUAGAUAUCAGAAGGAACGCCGGCGGCGAAAGCGGCUCUCUGGCCCGUAACUGACGCUGAGUGUGCGAAAGCUAGGGGAGCAAACGGGAUUAGAUACCCCGGUAGUCCUAGCCGUAAACGAUGGGCACUAAGUAGAGGGGUUUU